ACCCAAAUCCUCACUUCACUUGAGAAUAUUAUCCAGAAAAAAGGAAUAUUUUUCAGUUCUUGCUAGCUAAGCUGAAUUUUGAGAAGCUUAAGUUGUCAUCAUUCUGGGAAGAAAAAAAAACAUUAACGAAGUGGCCGAUAAUACGAAGGGAAUCAUGGAUCAGUUUCCUUUCACUCCUGGUGGUGGAUUUCACUUACAAGAAAAUUGAAGCUGGCAAGACCCUGUUUUCUCUGCAAUUUAUUUAAAACCUUGCACGCAUUUGGAUACCUUGUGAUUUCCGAGAACUAUGUGAAGAUUAAGCUUUGCUUACUGAUACAUGGCAUGUAUUCUUUUCAGUCUUUUGUGUUUGAUUUUGUUUGAUUUCCCUCUGCAGCACAGCGUCUCUGGAAAGGUUUUUAUGCUUUCACCAGCCAUGUCUUAAAUACGUUAAGACAACACAUUUGGUGUUCGCACUUCUUCAGUAAUGUCUGUACUUGAAAGCCACAUAGUGGCAUAAAACAAUGCGUGUUUUCUUUGAGAGUGGUGCACAUUUUGCAACCACUAGGAAGGAAAUUUUUAGCUACAGCAAACCCAUGUUCUCUGACUGACUUGACAACUUGGUCCCUGGCUGUGGGGCUCCACUUGUCGCUUACCUUUUGAGGACAUUUGCAAAUAUGGUUUUUCUUGGAAAUAACUAUACAUUUACACAGGAUGUCGGAAUCUGCUUAGCAUUCUCAAGCCACAUAACACGACUGUUUUUUGAGUAGGUUGGAAGUGAAGAAACAAAUACCAAGCAUUAAGAACAAAGGCAGGGAUAAAUUGCUUACUUUUCAACCUCUGGAAAUUGAGGUAACUUUUACGUGUUUUCUGAGUCUUGUCAACAUCUUAUUUUUCCCAUCCACUCUGUUACACUUUGUAUUUUUCUAAAUGGGGAAAAGAGGAGGAACAGAAUGUUUAAAACUUGGAUGCAAAAAAAUUGUAUCCGCUGGAUGAGCUCUGAAAGCCCUCUUUGCUAGUUAACGUUUAAAAAGCAAAUUACAAAGGUAUCCAGAGCUAAAAAUUUACAUCAAAGCACCUUCAAAUUACAUUUUUAAGAAACAUUCUAAGCUGAUUGGAAGACAUCAUUGUGUACCUUAACUUUAAACCGUCUGUGAGAAAAACUGUUCGAAUGCAGGUUUCAGAAAUAAUGCAGGAGUCUUGCUUUAAAGACUGAAAAGGGAAAAAGAAAGGCGCAGCUUCCCUUGUUUAAGGAGUUGCGGGGCCUUGGAGGAUGAAGGUGAGUAUGUGACACGGAGGACAGAGUGGAUUAGGCAUGCGUUGUGCUUUGAUCCAGAGGGAGC
rnacentral:lncRNA from 1 species